GUUAUAUGGCACACAGUCAUAUAACCCAGAAUAUCAAGGCAGAUAAUCACAUUAUCUGCUUUGAACUGGAUUAUAUAGAAGUGUGCACUCAGAAAACCCAGUUCAAAGCCAUGAGGAAAGUCUCCUCCAAGGGAGGAGAGAGAAAAAGAUAUCCAACCUGCUGGGGAGAGGACUUUUCCGUCCCUUUCAAAGUUCAUAGGCAUUGUGUUUCCUCAAGCUUGCCUUUCCUCCUUUCCUCCCCUGCAGUUCUGGCUCUUUCUCUUGUUUUCCUUGAAAGAAAAAUGGAGGGUUCUAUCUUCUUGCAAAAGGAGAAAGGGAGGAAAGGGUCCGUGAGUGCAGGAUCGGGGGGGGGGGGGGCUGACAUGUUUCCAGGGCUCCAAACUACAGCUCCCAUCAUGCACAGCACUCUCCUGGUGCUCUACUUCCUCUUCGUAGCUUUACACCCACUGGAGAAGGAGAGGGUUGCAUGGUGCCAUUCACACGCAAACUAUGCUGUACCGACCUUGAGCCAUGAGAACAGGCAGAAAGAGAAAACCAAGGAUAUGCUGCCAGAGAAAAACAAAGCCUGGGGCUAUGGAUUCCAUACUUGACCGGUUAAGUUGGACAAGCAGCCAGCAGCAUCACAAUUGAACAGAAGCCUUUGUAGUAAUAUUAUCUACAAGGAUGGUAUUAGAAUGAAAAUGUUUAUUGCCAUAGGAAAGACAAUGUCAUUAAUUACCAAAGUGAACAUCACUAGUAUUUUCAUCUUCUGCUAGAGUUUCUUCCUACAGUUAUUAUAGAAUUUCCAUGCCAGACUCGGAUGUUGGAUAUGUUUAGCUUGCUUCUGAAGCAGUUUUAGCAUAUUUCAAGAGGUCUAGCUGGUUUUGCAGUGUUACCACUCAGAGGUUUAUCCAUGCUCAUGUUUAUUUGCAUUUAUUUUGUUCUCACAAGCAAGAAUGAAAAACUUUAAAUCUCCUUAUGCCCAUGGGUUUCCUUGGAGUAAUGGUCCCACUUAGCAUAAAAGGAGCCUUGAAAUGGAACUGGAGGAAUCACCACUAUACAGGCCCGUAGCCAGGAUUUUGGUUCGGGAGGGGCUGGGAUUUUGGUUCAGGGGGGGGGGGGCUGAGUCUGAGUGAGAGAGGAUUUGCCCUAGCAAACCUUUUGUAUCGUUAUCCCAAUGCCUCCAAGCAUAUGGGAUAUAUUGAGCAUGGUGAUCAGAUCAUGAUAUGAAUAAGCAUAACAGUUUAAAUAAUAAAUAUAAGGCCUUCUCUCUCUCUCUCUCUCCCCCCCCCCCCCCGGCUACAUGCCUGCCACUGUAGGACUCCAGCAAGGUCAAGAAAAUCUGCAAGGCCAAACAUUUCUUGAGCAAAUGUUUCAGUAUAUCAUGGCUCUUUAAUGAGAAAGCAUUAGAAAAAUAAACACAAAGAAAUGAAAAUAACAAUGGUUUCCCACCAGAAAGGGAAAACAUAGUCAUAUAGAUGUUGCUUAAUAGUAUUUCUCAUUAGACCUAGCAACAGUAGUAAAUGGUAAAGAUUGAUUAAAGUUAUAGGUCAACAAUAUCUAGAGCAGUGGUUCUCAAUCUGUGGGUCCCCAGAUGUUUUCGCCUUCAGCUCCCAGAAAUCCUAACAGCUGGUAACCUGGCUGGGAUUUCUGGGAGUUGUAGGCCAAAACACCUGGGGACUCACAUGUUGAAAAUGACUGAUCUAGAGAAUCACAGAUCUCAGACCCUGGAUGUUUCAAAAAUAUAGCUUUUGAAACUUUGUAAUGUCCAACAUGCUGAUCAUGGAGCUGCUGCAGAUUUCUUCCAAGUGUUGGUCUUAAUGACGGAAUAUAUUUAGAGCUGUGCCCUGUAGGUUCUGUUAUUGAGGUUUUACACUCCAUGAGAGAAGAAGGAGAUGACCCUGUAUCGUUCAAGCCAUGGUUCAUUGAGGCCAAAGCCAACCAAACAUAGUCAGCAAAAGAAGAAAAUAAAUAUCAAUAGAUUUUUUUUUAUAAAAAAAUCACCAUUCAAGCCACUAACUUCCAUAUUCCUACUAGAGGUAGUUUACGACUUGUAUUUGGUCCAACUGACCAAUUUGUACAACUCAAAGCAAUGUAUUAAAGGAAAUAAAUUUGUGUAGAUUUUAUGCUCUG
rnacentral:lncRNA from 11 species